AUGAAUAGGUGGGCACACGCCCAGAAGAGCAAAACAUACACGACAUCACGCCUAGCAAUCAACACGCGCCUUCACACGUCACAUCACGCGCACAACAGAUUGAAGGCAGAUCGACACAAGCCAAUGACAACCAGUUGCAUCGGCAAGGUCGACGCCUCCCCAGGACGCCCAGCACAUCAAAGGCCCGAAGAAGAAACAACAAAAACAUCAUCAAAUUUGGGUAACAACAUAUCCACACAUGUCGAGGACGAUCAGUUGCACCGGCAAGAUCGGCAGGACACCCGGCGUAUCCAAGGGAAUGGCAAGACGACCGACACAUCGAAGGCCUGUAGAAGGAACAAUAGAAACAUCAUCUACUAUGGGCAACAACCUAUGGCGUACAAGAAGUUGAGUGAGCUAACCACAAGAGGACACACAUUGAAUAAUAAAGCCAAAGUAAUGAGAAUGUGGGAUUCAAUCAACCCUUCACCUGAUGAACUUAUAAGCAUUGAUAUGAUCUAG
rnacentral:rRNA from 1 species